AAGAGAAGCAAAGCCGCGAGGUAGAGCAAAUCUCAAAAAAACAAUCUCAGUUCAGACUGCAGGCUGCAACUCGCCUGCACGAAGUCGGAAUUGCUAGUAAUCGUAGGUCAGCAUACUACGGUGAAAUACGUUCCCGGGCCUUGUACACACCGCCCGUCAAACCAUGAGAGUUGGCAACACCCGAAGUCGGUAGUCUAACCGCAAGGAGGACGCCGCCGAAGGUGGGGUUGAUGAUUAGGGUUAAGUCGUAACAAGGUAGC
rnacentral:rRNA from 1 species